GGCUAUAGCUCAGCUGGGAGAGCGCCUGCUUUGCACGCAGGAGGUCUGCGGUUCGAUCCCGCAUAGCU
rnacentral:tRNA from 3 species